UACGGGGGGGGCAAGCGUUGUUCGGAAUUACUGGGCGUAAAGGGCGCGUAGGCGGUGCUCUAAGUUAGAUGUGAAAACUCUGGGCUCAACCCAGAGCCUGCAUCUAAAACUGGAGUGCUAGAGUUCUGGAGGGGGUAGCGGAAUUCCUGGUGUAGCGGUGAAAUGCGUAGAUAUCAGGAGGAACACCGGUGGCGAAGGCGGGUCUCUGGGCCGUAACUGACGCUGAGGAGCGAAAGCGUGGGGAGCGAACAGG
rnacentral:rRNA from 1 species